GAUGAACGCUGGCGGCGUGCCUAAUACAUGCAAGUCGAGCGAACGGACGAGAAGCUUGCUUUUCUGAUGUUAGCGGCGGACGGGUGAGUAACACGUGGAUAACCUACCUAUAAGACUGGGAUAACUUCGGGAAACCGGAGCUAAUACCGGAUAAUAUUUUGAACCGCAUGGUUCAAAAGUGAAAGACGGUCUUGCUGUCACUUAUAGAUGGAUCCGCGCUGCAUUAGCUAGUUGGUAAGGUAACGGCUUACCAAGGCAACGAUGCAUAGCCGACCUGAGAGGGUGAUCGGCCACACUGGAACUGAGACACGGUCCAGACUCCUACGGGAGGCAGCAGUAGGGAAUCUUCCGCAAUGGGCGAAAGCCUGACGGAGCAACGCCGCGGGAGUGAUGAAGGUCUUCGGAUCGUAAAACUCUGUUAUUAGGGAAGAACAUAUGUGUAAGUAACUGUGCACAUCUUGACGGUACCUAAUCAGAAAGCCACGGCUAACUACGUGC
rnacentral:rRNA from 1 species